UAGUUUAUGAAGUCCUUAGUAUCAUACACCAAAGCUAUGCCAGUUUUAUUGAUCUUGGACCCUAUGGUAAUCCUCCAUUUGCCUUCGGAGGUUAACCAGGCGGUGGUCGGAUCGCGGAAAUCAUUGGGACCGAUGCCCGGUGGUGGGACCAGAACCGGGUUCCGAGGGUACUUGACCCAAUGGACGAGGAGCGGAUCGUAUUGGUCGGCUGGAUAAGCUAGGUUUUGAACUUGAACACCCUCGGUGGUGGACCCUGUAUAAAGCAUAACAAUUUUACCAUCAUGAAGGAUGGUUGCAGAACCUGUCCAGACACCAUUUUUGUCGUACCACUGAUCGGC
rnacentral:lncRNA from 1 species